GACGUAGGGGGCGAGCGUUGUCCGGAUUCACUGGGCGUAAAGCGCGCGUAGGCGGCUCGUUAAGUCGGAUGUGAAAACCCGGGGCUCAACCCCGGGCCUGCACCCGAUACUGGCGGGCUGGAGGCAGGUAGGGGAGAUCGGAGUUCCCGGUGUAGCGGUGAAAUGCGCAGAUAUCGGGAGGAACACCGGUGGCGAAGGCGGAUCUCUGGGCCUGUCCUGACGCUCAGGCGCGAAAGCUAGGGGAGCAAACAGG
rnacentral:rRNA from 1 species